rnacentral:rRNA from 2 species
GGGGGAUAUUGCGCAAUGGGGGCAACCCUGACGCAGCAACGCCGCGUGAAGGAUGAAGGUUUUCGGAUUGUAAACUUCUUUUAUUAAGGACGAAAAAUGACGGUACUUAAUGAAUAAGCUCCGGCUAACUACGUGCCAGCAGCCGCGGUAAUACGUAGGGAGCAAGCGUUGUCCGGAUUUACUGGGUGUAAAGGGUGCGUAGGCGGCUUUGCAAGUCAGAUGUGAAAUCUAUGGGCUCAACCCAUAAACUGCAUUUGAAACUGUAGAGCUUGAGUGAAGUAGAGGCAGGCGGAAUUCCCCGUGUAGCGGUGAAAUGCGUAGAGAUGGGGAGGAACACCAGUGGCGAAGGCGGCCUGCUGGGCUUUAACUGACGCUGAGGCACGAAAGCGUGGGUAGCAAACAGGAUUAGAUACCCUGGUAGUCCACGCUGUAAACGAUGAUUACUAGGUGUGGGGGGUCUGACCCCUUCCGUGCCGGAGUUAACACAAUAAGUAAUCCACCUGGGGAGUACGGCCGCAAGGUUGAAACUCAAAGGAAUUGACGGGGGCCCGCACAAGCAGUGGAGUAUGUGGUUUAAUUCGAAGCAACGCGAAGAACCUUACCAGGUCUUGACAUCCAACUAACGAAGUAGAGAUACAUUAGGUGCCCUUCGGGGAAAGUUGAGACAGGUGGUGCAUGGUUGUCGUCAGCUCGUGUCGUGAGAUGUUGGGUUAAGUCCCGCAACGAGCGCAACCCUUGCUAUUAGUUGCUACGCAAGAGCACUCUAAUAGGACUGCCGCUGACAAAACGGAGGAAGGUGGGGACGACGUCAAAUCAUCAUGCCCCUUAUGACCUGGGCUACACACGUACUACAAUGGAUGUUAACAGAGGGAAGCAAGACAGCGAUGUGGAGCAAACCCCUAAAAACAUUCUCAGUUCAGAUUGCAGGCUGCAACCCGCCUGCAUGAAGAUGGAAUUGCUAGUAAUCGCGGAUCAGCAUGCCGCGGUGAAUACGUUCCCG